AUUGAACGCUGGCGGCAGGCCUAACACAUGCAAGUCGAACGAGUGGCGGACGGGUGAGUAAUGUCUGGGAAACUGCCUGAUGGAGGGGGAUAACUACUGGAAACGGUAGCUAAUACCGCAUACCAUCAGAUGUGCCCAGAUGGGAUUAGCUUGUUGGUGGGGUAACGGCUCCCCAAGGCGACGAUCCCUAGCUGGACUGAGAGGAUGACCGUCAACACUGGAACUGGGACACGGUCCAGACUCCUACGGGAGGCAGCAGUGGGGAAUAUUGCACAAUGUGCGCAAGCCUGAGGCAGCCAUGCCGCGAGUAUGAAGAAGGCCUUCGGGUUGUAAAGUACUGUCAGCGGGGAGGCGUUACCGGCAGAAGAAGCACCGGCUAACUCCGUGCCAGCAGCCGCGGUAAUAC
rnacentral:rRNA from 1 species